rnacentral:lncRNA from 1 species
ACCCAACAUAAAUGAAUAAUUUCAAUAUAAUUUGCUCCCGAGGAUUCAUAUAAAUUAAAUUCAAUAGAGAAAUAAAUAAUUGAAUUAAGAGAAGGAAAUAAAGGGAGAAAAUAUGAGAUUCAGGCCCCUUUUUAGUUCAUUUCAAUUCUAGCCUGCUCUUUGGACCUAUUUUUUAUUCCUUUUCAACUAUGUAUAUUAGUUGUAUAUCACAAUCCAAUUAUUUCACAUUUUUCUAUAUAAUUGAUGUACACAUGACUUAAAAUUAGUCAUAUACACCCAAUUUGAUCCUCUAGCUGAAUAUUAGCACUCCUUUCCUCGUAUAUCACUUGUAUUCCACGUAUAUUUGUUGUAAUCUUUGUAUACAAUUUUGUAUCUUCAUAUGUUUGGUCCAUUUUGAACUUUGGUUGAAGCUUUGGACUCGAAGAUGAUGUAGGACUCUUUGGCCCAUUGAGAAAUGCAAAAAAUAGAAUCUGUUAGGAUUCAAGCAGAAUUUUACAUGCAAGGAAAAAGAAAGAUAAGAAUUAGCCAAAGAUGAAUACUAAUAACAACUAGCAAUAGGUUGAGAACCCAAUGAAUGUUUAACAAAAACUUAAUCAAUUCAGUAAAGUAGAGAAAGAAAAGAUCAAAAUGAUUUCAACAUGAAUUUCCCAAACAAAGGAUUUCUGGAAGAAGAUUUAUAAAUUAGUAACUUCCUAUGCGAUUUUCCUAAUGAAUUUAAACUAGUUUAAAGACAAACUAAGGACAACAAUAUCAUAAAGUGCACAAAUAUUGAUCUUGAUCAAGGCUAUGUAUAACAGCAACCCAAUUCUAGUCCAACAGUUUAUAAAUCAAAAGCAUACAUUAAUAAAGGAUCACUGGAAAGUAUCUCAAUAUUUAGAAAUUUAGAUAGAUACAAGGUAGUGGAAAAUCCAAACAUGUAAUCUGUCAAACUUUAUCAAAACACAAAAUAAACGAUAACAAAUAAAGAAAACCAACGAUAAAGGAACGUGAUACCCAACAUACUGUUUAUUCAACACAAUCAUACUAGUAAUAAUGAAUUCAAAAAAAACAAGACAGAUCGAACCUACUUCAUCUGGUGUCUAUGGUAAUAAACUUUUAAUAUCAACACACUACUAUUAAAAUGAUCUCAAAUCGGUUACUGGAAUUAUAAACAAUCAUGGCGAGAUUUCACGAUUUAGAUUAGAACAAAUAACAGAGGUAAAUUGAAGUAGGAUAUUACCAAAAGCAGAGGUCGUUCAACACCAAAGCCACAAAAUAAAACAAUUAACAUAAUACUAACUCUAAAAUUCGAUCAAAAAACUUCAUAAGAAAUUAGUCAAGAAGGGAAUUACUAGCUAAACAUACAACAAUUCCCAAUCAUCAAAGCACUGAAGUUUUAAAGAAAAGAAAAAUUAAAGAGAAUGAGUUUACCUUUUUGUGGGCAGCGAACCGGGACGAUGACUUAACAACAACUUCACUUCACCACCUUUCUUUAUGCAAAAACAGCAAUGAAAAUGGCACUUGAGUUACAAUUCUCACAACUCUAAGACUGGGAACAUGAAGUCCAAAAUCCUAGCCGAGUGAAAAGAACGUUUAGCCCCCUUUUUUUGAUUCUGAAAACCCCCCUAAAAUAAUGAGAGGUAGGGGAUUUAUAUAGAACCCCAAAAUCCCAAUUCUUGACUAAUUUGGCAAUGUGGGAGUGAAAAUUCAAGGGAUUUGGGGAUUUUAUUGAGGGGUGAGCUGAAUUGUACUGUUUUGGUACAAGAAUUUGAUUUUCAAAUUGAAAGGAUGAUGAGGUAUCCUUAGAAAGCUAAAUCGCGGGUACAGGCAGCUGGUAUUGGGUUGGGUCGCCGAGUUUUGGUUUGGUUUUGCAUUGAAAUUAUUGCUUCUUGCUGAUAUUAUUGUUGUCAAGUUAUUGUUGUCUGUUGGUGCUAUAAAAGACUCUAAUUGUUGCCGGUAUUAUCAAUGUUUGUUUGUAUCAUUAUUGAAGUAGAUUGUUAACACUGAUGUUGGCUAUCGUGGUUAGGUUGUUGUUGAUCGAUAUUGUUGUUGAAGAUGAUGUUACGGUGUUGUUUAAGUUAUUUAUCGGGUUUGGAGAAGAAAAAGGGUUGGGUCGGUUGCUAGACUCUAAUGGAGAGGAUGGAUUUUAGGUUUUUUUAGGGGGGGGGGGGGUUUUUCAAAAAUAA